rnacentral:rRNA from 1 species
UCAACUUCAAAUCUGCACGGGAAACGGUCAGACUCGAGUGCGUAAGAGGUGAAUGGAACUCAUAGUGUAGGGGUGAAAUCCGUUGAUAUUAUGGGGAAUACCAAAUGCGAAGGCAGUUCACUGGCGCACUCCUGACGCUGAAACACGAAAGCGUGGGUAGCGAAUGGGAUUAGAUACCCCAGUAGUCCACGCCCUAAACGAUCUUCUCUAGGUUUUCGGAGUAUCGACCCUCUGAGAGCCACAGCUAACGCGUUAAGAGAAGCGCCUGGGUAGUACGGCCGCAAGGCUAAAACUCAAAGGAAUAGACGGGGACUCGCACAAGCAGAGGAUCAUGUGGUUUAAUUCGAUGGUAAACGAAGAACCUUACCAGGGUUUGAAACCUAGCUGAAGAUAUGUGGAAACAUGUAUCGUCUCACAAGGACAGUUAGGCAGGUGAUGAAUGGCCGUCGUCAGUUCGUGGUUUGAAUUGUUCCCUUAAGUGGGGUAACGAACGCAACCCUCGUUGCCUGUUACAAGUGUCAGGCGAGACUGCUCCCUCACGGGAGAGGAAGGUGAGGAUGACGCCAGGUCAGCAUGUCCCUAGAUGCCUUGGGCUGCACCCGGGAUACAAUGGGUAGUACAACGAGACGCAAUGUGGCGACACGGAGCAAAUCUUAAUAAAACUACCCUCAAUUCGGAUUGAAGUCUGCAACUCGACUUCAUGAAGCCGGAAUCGCUAGUAAUCGCCGGUCAGCUAUACGGCGGUGAAUACGUUCCCGGGUCUUGUACACACCGCCCGUCACAUGCUGGGAGCCGUCUUGUCCCGAAAACAGGUUGUUAACCUUCAUUUGA